CAGCCAUAUCGUGUCCCCUGUUACUGGCUACAACAAAAUGGCCGCCACAAUGAACUGAGACGAAACGUUAUUUUCUAUACUAGUCAGUAGGAAACGUUUUAUUUUGAGAAUUUCUAAACAGCCCUCCGUAAUUUGUACUAAAACGAUCUUUUAUUGGCAAAAUGAAGAUAUAAUAUGAGUUGCUACAAGAAAAUGGUCGCCACUCUCUCGCAGUAAGGACAUUGUAGUGGUUUCCAUCCCUCUGAUGGGUCGCCGUAUCUGACGAAACACCUGCUUACCGCCAAUAGGAAAUGCGGAGUGAGUUACUCGUCCUGUGGAUGGAGCUUUGCGUCACUAUAAUAACCAGGAAGCGGCGUGAAACGCAAAAGCGGAAGUUGGGAGCCACUGGGCGGAAGUGGGAGGAGACUAGGGAUGAUAGAGGAGUCUUUGUUUAUCCCUCCCCCGAGGAGCAUUUACGUUGCCCUAGCCAAAGAUGGAGAAGAAACGGGAUCACAUGACUGAGAGGAUAUUAGACCUCACCCUGGAGAUCAUCUACCUGCUGACCAGAGAGGAUUAUGGGCCCAUAAAAAAUUUGAGUGACCAUCGGAGGCCCCCAUCCAUGAUUUUUAAGGAGAGCGGAAAGCAGAUUCUAGAAGUCACCCAGAAGAUCAUUGAGCUGCUGACAGGAGAGG